GGGCGCACGGUGGAUGCCUUGACACUAGGAGUCGAUGAAGGACGGGACUAACGCCGAUAUGCUUCGGGGAGCUGUAAGUAAGCUUUGAUCCGAAGAUUUCCGAAUGGGGAAACCCACCAUACGUAAUGGUAUGGUAUCCUUAUCUGAAUACAUAGGGUAAGGAAGACAGACCCAGGGAACUGAAACAUCUAAGUACCUGGAGGAAGAGAAAGCAAAUGCGAUUUCCUGAGUAGCGGCGAGCGAAACGGAACAUAGCCCAAACCAAGAGGCUUGCCUCUUGGGGUUGUAGGACAUUCUAUACGGAGUUACAAAGGAACGAGGUAGACGAAGCGACCUGGAAAGGUCCGUCGUAGAGGGUAACAACCCCGUAGUCGAAACUUCGUUCUCUCUUGAAUGUAUCCUGAGUACGGCGGAACACGUGAAAUUCCGUCGGAAUCUGGGAGGGCCAUCUCCCAAGGCUAAAUACUCCCUAGUGAUCGAUAGUGAACCAGUACCGUGAGGGAAAGGUGAAAAGCACCCCGGAAGGGGAGUGAAAGAGAUCCUGAAACCGUGUGCCUACAAAUAGUCAGAGCCCGUUAAUGGGUGAUGGCGUGCCUUUUGUAGAAUGAACCGGCGAGUUACGAUCCCGUGCGAGGUUAAGCUGAAGAGGCGGAGCCGCAGCGAAAGCGAGUCUGAAUAGGGCGUUUAGUACGUGGUCGUAGACCCGAAACCAGGUGAUCUACCCAUGUCCAGGGUGAAGUUCAGGUAACACUGAAUGGAGGCCCGAACCCACGCACGUUGAAAAGUGCGGGGAUGAGGUGUGGGUAGCGGAGAAAUUCCAAUCGAACCUGGAGAUAGCUGGUUCUCCCCGAAAUAGCUUUAGGGCUAGCCUUAAGUGUAAGAGUCUUGGAGGUAGAGCACUGAUUGGACUAGGGGUCCUCAUCGGAUUACCGAAUUCAGUCAAACUCCGAAUGCCAAUGACUUAUCCUUAGGAGUCAGACUGCGAGUGAUAAGAUCCGUAGUCAAAAGGGAAACAGCCCAGACCGCCAGCUAAGGUCCCAAAGUGUGUAUUAAGUGGAAAAGGAUGUGGAGUUGCUUAGACAACUAGGAUGUUGGCUUAGAAGCAGCCACCAUUUAAAGAGUGCGUAAUAGCUCACUAGUCGAGUGACUCUGCGCCGAAAAUGUACCGGGGCUAAAUACACCACCGAAGCUGCGGAUUGAUACCAAUGGUAUCAGUGGUAGGGGAGCGUUCUAAGGACAGUGAAGUCAGACCGGAAGGACUGGUGGAGUGCUUAGAAGUGAGAAUGCCGGUAUGAGUAGCGAAAGACGGGUGAGAAUCCCGUCCACCGAAUGCCUAAGGUUUCCUGAGGAAGGCUCGUCCGCUCAGGGUUAGUCAGGACCUAAGCCGAGGCCGACAGGCGUAGGCGAUGGACAACAGGUUGAUAUUCCUGUACCACCUCUUUAUCGUUUGAGCAAUGGAGGGACGCAGAAGGAUAGAAGAAGCGUGCGAUUGGUUGUGCACGUCCAAGCAGUUAGGCUGAUAAGUAGGCAAAUCCGCUUAUCGUGAAGGCUGAGCUGUGAUGGGGAAGCUCCUUAUGGAGCGAAGUCUUUGAUUCCCCGCUGCCAAGAAAAGCUUCUAGCGAGAUAAAAGGUGCCUGUACCGCAAACCGACACAGGUAGGCGAGGAGAGAAUCCUAAGGUGUGCGAGAGAACUCUGGUUAAGGAACUCGGCAAAAUGACCCCGUAACUUCGGGAGAAGGGGUGCUUUCUUAACGGAAAGCCGCAGUGAAUAGGCCCAAGCGACUGUUUAGCAAAAACACAGCUCUCUGCGAAGCCGUAAGGCGAAGUAUAGGGGGUGACACCUGCCCGGUGCUGGAAGGUUAAGGAGAGGGGUUAGCGUAAGCGAAGCUCUGAACUGAAGCCCCAGUAAACGGCGGCCGUAACUAUAACGGUCCUAAGGUAGCGAAAUUCCUUGUCGGGUAAGUUCCGACCCGCACGAAAGGUGUAACGAUUUGGGCACUGUCUCAACCAGAGACUCGGUGAAAUUAUAGUACCUGUGAAGAUGCAGGUUACCCGCGACAGGACGGAAAGACCCCGUGGAGCUUUACUGUAGCCUGAUAUUGAAUUUUGGUACAGUUUGUACAGGAUAGGCGGGAGCCUUUGAAACCGGAGCGCUAGCUUCGGUGGAGGCGCUGGUGGGAUACCGCCCUGACUGUAUUGAAAUUCUAACCUACGGGUCUUAUCGACCCGGGAGACAGUGUCAGGUGGGCAGUUUGACUGGGGCGGUCGCCUCCUAAAGUGUAACGGAGGCGCCCAAAGGUUCCCUCAGAAUGGUUGGAAAUCAUUCGUAGAGUGCAAAGGCAUAAGGGAGCUUGACUGCGAGACCUACAAGUCGAGCAGGGACGAAAGUCGGGCUUAGUGAUCCGGUGGUUCCGCAUGGAAGGGCCAUCGCUCAACGGAUAAAAGCUACCCCGGGGAUAACAGGCUUAUCUCCCCCAAGAGUCCACAUCGACGGGGAGGUUUGGCACCUCGAUGUCGGCUCAUCGCAUCCUGGGGCUGUAGUCGGUCCCAAGGGUUGGGCUGUUCGCCCAUUAAAGCGGUACGCGAGCUGGGUUCAGAACGUCGUGAGACAGUUCGGUCCCUAUCCGUCGUGGGCGUAGGAAAUUUGAGAGGAGCUGUCCUUAGUACGAGAGGACCGGGAUGGACGCACCGCUGGUGUACCAGUUGUUCUGCCAAGGGCAUAGCUGGGUAGCUAUGUGCGGAAGGGAUAAGUGCUGAAAGCAUCUAAGCAUGAAGCCCCCCUCAAGAUGAGAUUUCCCAUAGCGUAAGCUAGUAAGAUCCCUGAAAGAUGAUCAGGUUGAUAGGUUCGAGGUGGAAGCAUGGUGACAUGUGGAGCUGACGAAUACUAAUAGAUCGAGGACUUAACCAU
rnacentral:rRNA from 1 species